GCCUGCCCAGUGACCAUGUGUUCAACGGCCGCGGUAUUCUGACCGCGCGAAGGUAGCGUAAUCACUUGUCUUCUAAAUAAAGACUAGUAUGAACGGCCACACGAAGACUUAACUGUCUCCCCUGUCCAAUCAGUGAAACUGAUCUCCUUGUGCAGAAGCGAGGAUGAACCCAUAAGACGAGAAGACCCUAUGGAGCUUUAAACUUAAUAUUAACUAUUUCUAAAUCUCCUCUAAGGAAUUAACAAAUAACCCUUUUCAACUUAAUAUUAGUUUUAGGUUGGGGCGACCAUGGAGAAAAAAAAUAUCCUCCCUGAUGACUUUUAAACCAAGAGCUACAGCUCUAAGUAUUAAGAUACUUAACUUCCAUUGACCCAUUUUAUGAUCAACGAACCAAGUUACCCUAGGGAUAACAGCGCAAUCCAUUUCAAGAGUCCUUAUCGACAAAUGGGUUUACGACCUCGAUGUUGGAUCAGGGCAUCCCAGUGGUGCAACCGCUACUAAUGGUUCGUUUGUUCAACGAUUAAAGCCCU
rnacentral:rRNA from 1 species